GAACGCACCUUGCACCCUUUGGUAUUCCGAAGGGUAUGCCUGUUUGAGUGUCAUUAAAUUCUCAACUUCAAAAGAGUUUGUGCUUUUUUGAAGCUUGGACUAUGGAAGCUUGCUGGUAUCACUAUCAGCUCUUCUUAAAUGCAUUAGCGGAACCGUGAAGGACCAGCUUUGGUUUGAUAAUCCUAUCUAUGCCGUCGCUGUGGACUUGUGUGUUCAGCUUCUAACUGUCUUCGGACUGUCUCCUAUGAGGCAUACAAUUUUAAGCUUGACCUCAAAUCAGGUAGGACUACCCGCUGAACUUAAG
rnacentral:misc_RNA from 1 species